AAAGUCGUAACAAGGUUUCCGUAGGUGAACCUGCGGAAGGAUCAUUAACAACUACGUGUUCUACACGUAUACCUUUUUACCCCCAUGAACUUUUCUACUAAUUUCAAAAGUACUCUUUGAGAAUUGAAUGCACGUGCCUUGUGAGAUGCUGUCUUCUUUCCUCCGGGCAAAAAGACAACGUCUCUCAAAGUAUUGUUGCUUUUCUUUCAAAAGGAUUACUUUAUCCAAAUGUUAUACAACUCUUAGCAACGGAUAUCUCGGUUCUC
rnacentral:misc_RNA from 1 species